rnacentral:rRNA from 1 species
UACGUAGGGGGCAAGCGUUGUCCGGAUUUAUUGGGCGUAAAGAGCGUGUAGGCGGUCUGGUAGGUCCGUUGUGAAAACUCGAGGCUCAACCUCGAGACGCCGAUGGAAACCAUCAGACUAGAGUCCGGAAGAGGAGAGUGGAAUUCCUGGUGUAGCGGUGAAAUGCGCAGAUAUCAGGAAGAAUACCGGUGGUGAAGACGGCUCUCUGGACCGCCACUGACGCUGAGACACGAAAGCGUGGGUAGCAAACAGG